CCUACGGGUGGCAGCAGUGGGGAAUAUUGGACAAUGGGGGCAACCCUGAUCCAGCCAUGCCGCGUGUGUGAAGAAGUCCCUCGGGUUGUAAAGCACUUUCAGUGAGGAAGAACGCCUGGUGGUUAAUACCCAUCAGGAAAGACAUCACUCACAGAAGAAGCACCGUCUAACUCCGUGCCAGCAGCCGCGGUAAUACGGAGGGGGCGAGCGUUAAUCGGAAUUACUAGGCGUAAAGCGCGCGUAGGUGGCUUGAUAAGCCGGUUGUGAAAGCCCCGGGCUCAACCUGGGAACGGCAUCCGGAACUGUCAAGCUAGAGUGCAGGAGAGGAAGGUAGAAUUCCCGGUGUAGCGGUGAAAUGCGUAGAGAUCGGGAGGAAUACCAGUGGCGAAGGCGGCCUUCUGGACUGACACUGACACUGAGGUGCGAAAGCGUGGGUAGCAAACAGGAUUAGAUACCCCGGUAGUC
rnacentral:rRNA from 1 species